CGCGGCCUAUCAGCUUGUUGGUGGGGUCAAGGCCUACCAAGGCAACGAUGGGUAGCUGGUCUGAGAGGAUGAUCAGCCACACUGGGACUGAGACACGGCCCAGACUCCUACGGGAGGCAGCAGUGGGGAAUCUUGCGCAAUGCGCGAAAGCGUGACGCAGCAACACCGCGUGAGGGAAGACGGCCUUAGGGUUGUAAACCCCUUUCAGGAGGGACGAAGCGAAAGUGACGGUACCUCCAGAAGAAGCCCCGGCCAACUACGUGCCAGCAGCCGCGGUAAUACGUAGGGGGCGAGCGUUGUCCGGAUUUAUUGGGCGUAAAGAGCUCGUAGGCGGCUCAACAAGUCGGCCGUGAAAGCCCGAGGCUUAACCUCGGGACGCCGGUCGAAACUGUUGUGGCUAGGGUCCGGUAGAGGAGAGUGGAAUUCCCGGUGUAGCGGUGAAAUGCGCAGAUAUCGGGAGGAACACCAGUAGCGAAGGCGGCUCUCUGGGCCGGCACCGACGCUGAGGAGCGAAAGCUAGGGGAGCAAACAGGAUUAGAUACCCUGGUAGUCCUAGCCGUAAACGAUGGGUACUAGGUGUGGCGGAUUCAUUGACAUCUGCCGUGCCGAAGCUAACGCAUUAAGUACCCCGCCUGGGGAGUACGG
rnacentral:rRNA from 1 species